rnacentral:rRNA from 1 species
UCCGGUUGAUCCUGCCGGCGGUCACUGCUAUCGAGUUUCGACUAAGCCAUGCGAGUCACAGGCCGAAAGGUACUGGCGGACGGCUCAGUAACACGCGGAUAAUCUACCCUCAGGUGGGGUAUACCCUUGGGAAACUGAGGCUAAUCCCCCAUAGGUCCUGUAAACUGGAAUGUUUUAGGACUGAAAGUCACGGCGCCUGAGGAUGAGUCUGCGGCCUAUCAGGUAGUAGGUGGGGUAAAGGCCCACAUAGCCUAUGACGGGUACGGGCCCUGAGAGGGGUAGCCCGGAGAUGGGUUCUGAGACACGAACCCAGGCCCUACGGGGCGCAGCAGGCGCGAAACCUUCGCAAUGCGCGCAAGCGCGACGAGGGGAACUCGAGUGCUAUUAUCCUUUUGGGUGAUAGCUUUUCUCGAUCCUAAAAAGAUCGGGGAAUAAAAGCUGGGUAAGACGGGUGCCAGCCGCCGCGGUAAUACCCGCAGCUCAAGUGGUGGCCACUAUUAUUGAGCCUAAAGCGUCCGUAGCCGGUCUUGUAAAUCUCUGGGUAAAUCCCAUCGCUCAACGGUGGGAAGACUGGAGAGACUGCAAGACUAGGGAUCGGGUGAGGUAAGAGGUACUCCUGGGGUAGGGGUAAAAUCCUGUAAUCCUGGGGGGACGACCGGUGGCGAAGGCGUCUUACUAGAACGACUCCGACGGUGAGGGACGAAGGCUAGGGGAGCAAACCGGAUUAGAUACCCGGGUAGUCCUAGCUGUAAACGCUGCCCACUUGGUGUUGCCCUUUCGUAGGGAAGGGGCAGUGCCGGAGCGAAGGUGUUAAGUGGGCCGCUUGGGGAGUAUGGUCGCAAGGCUGAAACUUAAAGGAAUUGGCGGGAGAGCAUCGCAACGGGAGGAGCGUGCGGUUUAAUUGGAUUCAACGCCGGG